AGUGAACGCUGGCGGUAGGCCUAACACAUGCAAGUCGAACGGCAGCACAGUAAGAGCUUGCUCUUACGGGUGGCGAGUGGCGGACGGGUGAGGAAUACAUCGGAAUCUACUUUUUCCUGGGGGAUAACGUAGGGAAACUUACGCUAAUACCGCAUACGACCUACGGGUGAAAGCAGGGGAUCUUCGGACCUUGCGCGAUUGAAUGAGCCGAUGUCGGAUUAGCUAGUUGGCGGGGUAAAGGCCCACCAAGGCGACGAUCCGUAGCUGGUCUGAGAGGAUGAUCAGCCACACUGGAACUGAGACACGGUCCAGACUCCUACGGGAGGCAGCAGUGGGGAAUAUUGGACAAUGGGCGCAAGCCUGAUCCAGCCAUACCGCGUGGGUGAAGAAGGCCUUCGGGUUGUAAAGCCCUUUUGUUGGGAAAGAAAAGCAGCAGGUUAAUACCCCGCUGUUCUGACGGUACCCAAAGAAUAAGCACCGGCUAACUUCGUG
rnacentral:rRNA from 1 species